UCCUCGUCGGGCGUGCCCGCUUCGGGGGCGAGAGAGAGAGGCGCAGGGAGCGCGGGGCGCCCGGAGCAUCCUUGAUGCGCCUUGGCCUCGGCUGGGCUGCAGGGAGGAGCGAGGAUGGCGGAGAGCGAGUGCGAGACCCCCAGCACGCCCGGGGAGUUUGAGAGCAAAUACUUCGAGUACAAUGGGGUGCGCCUGCCCCCUUUCUGCAGGGGGAAGAUGGAAGAAAUCGCCAAUUUCCCCGUCAGGGACAAUGAUGUCUGGAUUGUUACCUAUCCCAAAUCAGGCACCAGCUUACUGCAGGAAGUGGUGUAUCUGGUGAGCCAGGGAGCCGAUCCCGAUGAAAUUGGGUUAAUGAACAUAGAUGAGCAGCUUCCAGUCCUAGAGUAUCCUCAGCCUGGACUGGACAUUAUCAAGGAGCUUACGUCUCCCCGCCUCAUCAAAAGCCACCUGCCGUAUCGUUUUUUGCCUUCAGACCUACACAGUGGUGAGUCCAAGGUAAUCUACAUGGCUCGCAACCCCAAAGACCUGGUAGUGUCUUAUUACCAGUUUCACCGCUCCCUACGAACCAUGAGCUACAGAGGAACAUUUCAAGAGUUCUGUCGGAGAUUCAUGAAUGAAAAGUUAGGAUACGGUUCAUGGUUUGAACAUGUGCAGGAGUUUUGGCAACAUCACAUGGACUCCAAUGUUCUCUUUCUGAAGUAUGAAGAUAUGCACAAGGAUCUGGCAACUAUGGUCGAACAGCUGGCGAGGUUCCUGGGUGUCUCUUACGACAAAGCACAGCUGGAGUCCAUGGUGGAGCAUUGUCACCAGCUCAUUGACCAGUGCUGCAAUGCAGAAGCCCUUCCUGUGGGCAGGGCUCCUUGACCUUUACUCAGAAGAUAACCCCCCGUUGCUGUGAGAGCAGGCCUUGGGUUAGCUUACCUUCCUUACAUUUGCUCCAUAUCCCAUCACAAAUCACAGUUUCAUGAACCCAGGACGUGUUGGGCUGUGGAAAGACAUCUUCACUGUCUCCAUGAAUGAGAAGUUUGAUUUGGUUUACAAACAGAAAAUGGGAAAGUGUGACCUCACAUUUGACUUUUAUUUAUAAAGCAUAAAGCAAAAGUGCAUGACUCUGA